UACGUAGGGUGCGAGCGUUGUCCGGAAUUACUGGGCGUAAAGAGCUUGUAGGUGGUUUGUCGCGUUGUUCGUGAAAUCUCACGGCUCAACUGUGAGCGUGCGGGCGAUACGGGCAGACUAGAGUACUGCAGGGGAGACUGGAAUUCCUGGUGUAGCGGUGGAAUGCGCAGAUAUCAGGAGGAACACCAGUGGCGAAGGCGGCACUCUGGGCCGGUACUGACGCUGAGGAGCGAAAGCGUGGGGAGCGAACAGG
rnacentral:rRNA from 1 species